AGGCCUACCUCGGGGUGCCCUGCAUGGGCUGAGACGCAGUUGCGGACCCGUUGAACCUGAUCCGGUUGAUACCCGGCGGAGGGAAGGUGACGGCUGUCCUU
rnacentral:ncRNA from 2 species